UCUGCACGUGCAGCCGGGGCUGUGCUGCCUCUUUACACAUCACCCUGGGUCAACCACCCCGUCCUGCCCGGCCAGUUGGUGUGGUGGGGACAUGGGGCCCUGCUGGUAAAACCACUCCAGGACAAGAUCUAGGAAAAGGGCAGCCUGGUUUCAUGGCUGUCUCCUCCUCCUCACUCUGAAGUCACUGCAGUUUCAGGUAAGUUUAACAGGUGAUUUGUAUUCACCACCAUUAAGGGCAGUGCUCACCGCUCUGUCCUGCAGGCUGGCUGCACACCACAGGGAAUUGCUCGUUGACCCCAAGCUUUCCUCUGCCCAAUUAUCCUGGUUAGCUUGCAGGCAGCCUCGGGAGCGGGGCAGGGAGCAGGUCACACCGAGGGACUCGUCCUCCCGUGCCCCUGCCUGCCCUCGAGCUGGGGGCAGGGUGCUGGGCAGGGGUGGCUCCUGGAGGGUGUCAGGUCACGGCAGCCUCAAAGCCAGUUGGGAAGAAGAAAGUUCCAGUCCUGGGACACCCCUCAAGCACCUGCACUGGUGUGUGGCACACCCUGACCGGGCUGGUGCUGACCCAGAGCAGCUGGUGCAGGGCAAACCUUGAUGUGGCUUGUGGAGCAUCACCAGUGCCGUGUCCCCACAGGACGGGUGACAUUCUCCUCACAGGACUUUCUCCUGUGGCCAUUGGCACCCUGGGGGUACCUGUGCUGAGUGGCCAGAGCAAGUGGCUGGACCUCAGGGUUGCCUCUGGCAGACAGGACCUCGUGGGUCUUGUCCCUCAAACCAACUAUGAGCCCAAUGCCUGCCAGACCUCACCCAGCUCCCCCAAAGCUGCAAACGGGCUGGAGCUGUUCCAGUGCUGUGAUUCCCAUCCAGAAGCCCCGAAAGUGGACAUGGGGGUGAAACUGGGAGACCUGAGACCCGCUGCCACCCACGAGCACGCCUAAUUCCUGUUUUCCUCCAAGCCCAUCCCAAGCAUCUCCCUGUGCUGCUAGAGUAGAGAUUUGUUAUCCAUCUGGGACUACUGGUCCCUUCUGGAGCAGCCCUGAACUCUCCAUUAGACCAGUUGCUUUCUGAUUCGGAGGGGAGCAAAGAGUUAAAAUUUAUUCCAUCCACCUGUAUAUUUUCCCAAGCCUUCUGAUAGCAAUCAAGAAUGCAGGAAACGGUGUAUUUAAGGGGUCUGAAUUUGCCAAAACUGUGCCACAAGUCAAACUUAUAAAGCAAAGUUUAUUUGUAAAGUUACAGAAGGCUGAAGUAUCUCCUGUUGAAGGGGCAAGUGCUGGAGCUCAUCAAGGCACAGAUCAGCCCUGCUGGGUUAUAGAGGGACCUUUGACUGUUGACUGGGAUCAUUUCAGCUUGUUUGGAGCCCUGGGAGGGACCCGACAGGGCUCAGCAAUGCCUCAGCUGGGGCUCCCCAGCUCCAGGGGGCUCAGCACCACUGGAUUUGGUAUCUAUCUCUGCUGGAUGGUGGGAGGCUGUGGUGGGGUGCUGUGAUGUGCCCCCAGCCACACAAGGACCAUGAGUUCUUGGCCAUGAACCCAGCCCACCCCGUGUGCUGCUUUCCAGGGAUCCUCCAAUCCCUAAAGGCUCCGUGAGAGAGUUUUAUAAACUCUUCCCAUGCUGAA